rnacentral:tRNA from 1 species
GUGGAUAUAGCUCAGUUGGUAGAGUGUUUGCCUUGCACGCACAAGGCGUUGGUUCAAUCCCCAGCACCACA